CUAUACAUGCAGUCGAACGAGUUCUGAUUAUUGAAAGGUGCUUGCAUCUUGAUUUAAUUUUGAACGAGUGGCGGACGGGUGAGUAACACGUGGGUAACCUGCCCUUAAGUGGGGGAUAACAUUUGGAAACAGAUGCUAAUACCGCAUAAAUCCAAGAACCGCAUGGUUCUUGGCUGAAAGAUGGCGUAAGCUAUCGCUUUUGGAUGGACCCGCGGCGUAUUAGCUAGUUGGUGAGGUAACGGCUCACCAAGGCAAUGAUACGUAGCCGAACUGAGAGGUUGAUCGGCCACAUUGGGACUGAGACACGGCCCAAACUCCUACGGGAGGCAGCAGUAGGGAAUCUUCCACAAUGGACGCAAGUCUGAUGGAGCAACGCCGCGUGAGUGAAGAAGGCUUUCGGGUCGUAAAACUCUGUUGUUGGAGAAGAAUGGUCGGCAGAGUAACUGUUGUCGGCGUGACGGUAUCCAACCAGAAAGCCACGGCUAACUACGUGCCAGCAGCCGCGGUAAUACGUAGGUGGCAAGCGUUAUCCGGAUUUAUUGGGCGUAAAGCGAGCGCAGGCGGUUUUUUAAGUCUGAUGUGAAAGCCCUCGGCUUAACCGAGGAAGUGCAUCGGAAACUGGGAAACUUGAGUGCAGAAGAGGACAGUGGAACUCCAUGUGUAGCGGUGAAAUGCGUAGAUAUAUGGAAGAACACCAGUGGCGAAGGCGGCUGUCUGGUCUGUAACUGACGCUGAGGCUCGAAAGCAUGGGUAGCGAACAGGAUUAGAUACCCUGGUAGUCCAUGCCGUAAACGAUGAAUGCUAGGUGUUGGAGGGUUUCCGCCCUUCAGUGCCGCAGCUAACGCAUUAAGCAUUCCGCCUGGGGAGUACGACCGCAAGGUUGAAACUCAAAGGAAUUGACGGGGGCCCGCACAAGCGGUGGAGCAUGUGGUUUAAUUCGAAGCAACGCGAAGAACCUUACCAGGUCUUGACAUCUUUUGAUCACCUGAGAGAUCAGGUUUCCCCUUCGGGGGCAAAAUGACAGGUGGUGCAUGGUUGUCCUCACCUCCGGUCCGGGAGAAGUUGGGUUAAGUCCCGC
rnacentral:rRNA from 1 species